UCCUGCAAGCUUUUCGAUCUCAGUUCUGUCCUGAUUAAUUCUCUCUCUCUCUGAGUAAUGGGAUGGUCUUGACUGAAACAAACACAUUAGUCAUUAGUCAUGCUGUCGAGAGCUCUCGUUUCGUCCGGUCACGGACCAGAUACCUUCAGAAGUGCUCUUUGGACUAACAUGGUGACUUUGAUUGAUAAGAAGUGUUCCAUGCCAAUGGGGACAAUGGCGGACUUUUAGGAGUCGUAUAUAAAGCAUGCUUCUGCUCUGCUGUUGAUGACAUAAGCAGGUGCAGCGGAAAGAAUGAGUCAAAAGUCUUGUGUAACUCACCUCAGACCGCAUCGAAACCUCAAAACAUCAUUACAAAAUACACACUGACUCACUGACCCUUCAUUGUUAUCCAGCUCUCUCUUUCAUUUCCUUUCCAACCAUCACCUUUGCUCUGGUGUUCCUUUGUGACUUUAAAUAACAAUAGGAGGAACCACAGAGGCAAAGGUUCUCCAAAACAAGCCUCUGACCUUCUCUCUUACUGAACUGGAGAGGGUCGUGAAGGCCAGUGGACAGCAGGAAGAGCAGGUUCCUGUUCAGACUGACUUCUACAUGCAGACCCCUUAAAUCAGAGAAGAGAGGAGGUCAUCGUCUUUUUUUGAAAGCAGUCUUCCCUGUUUCCCUUCUAUUCGGUUCCCAGUCAUAGUGACUCUGCACAGAGCAACAAAUACAACCAGUCAAGAUGGCAAAAGCAUCCUGCAAUUUCAUUUGGACAGAUGAUGAGGGUGUUGUUCGACCUCGAGGACCAGACCCACAGCUGCAGACACCGUAACCCAAGAUCCGUCUGGAGGCACCAGUCACCCAAUCCACAAUCCAUCCAUCUCUCUCAUUCCCUCGCGUUCACCCUCCGACUCUCUGACAGGCUGUGACCUGCAUCCAUCCCACGCAGCACUCCUCUCCCCCGGGUCACCAUCCAGCCCCCUCCUGGUACACUUAAUUCUUAUGGUAACAAAAACAUGCCAUGGCCUGCAAUGAACUCAACAGCACACACACACACUUACAUGUGUGUUUCCCAUCGCAAAUCUGAUCUUCAAGAAGAAAUACUCCUGUGUAGUUAUUUACAGUUUAUGAGAUUUUUGGCAGGACUUUAAUUUUCCUAAAAGCUCUGCAGAUUUCCUCUGAGAUAGAAUGCCUGUCUUUCACAAAGUUUAAUUUUCAUUAAAUAGUUCAGCUAAUCUGAUCAUGCUUUCAUCUACUGAUGAUAACGUAGUGCCCACAGCGAAACACAUUCACGGUUCACCAUGUUUAAAGAGCACCUAUUGUCCGA